rnacentral:rRNA from 1 species
AUUGAACGCUGGCGGCAGGCCUAACACAUGCAAGUCGAGCGGAUGAAGGGAGCUUGCUCCUGGAUUCAGCGGCGGACGGGUGAGUAAUGCCUAGGAAUCUGCCUGGUAGUGGGGGAUAACGUCCGGAAACGGGCGCUAAUACCGCAUACGUCCUGAGGGAGAAAGUGGGGGAUCUUCAGACCUCACGCUAUCAGAUGAGCCUAGGUCGGAUUAGCUAGUUGGUGGGGUAAAGGCCUACCAAGGCGACGAUCCGUAACUGGUCUGAGAGGAUGAUCAGUCACACUGGAACUGAGACACGGUCCAGACUCCUACGGGAGGCAGCAGUGGGGAAUAUUGGACAAUGGGCGAAAGCCUGAUCCAGCCAUGCCGCGUGUGUGAAGAAGGUCUUCGGAUUGUAAAGCACUUUAAGUUGGGAGGAGGGGCAGUAAGUUAAUACCUUGCUGUUUUGACGUUACCAACAGAAUAAGCACCGGCUAACUUCGUG